ACCCUUGAGCAAGUACUUACCUGUCGAUGAAGAACGCACCUAGCUGCAAGAACUAAUGUGAAUUUCAGGACACAUUGGUCAUCGACACUUUGAAUGUGCUUUGCGGGCCCAGGUCCCUACUGUAUCAAAUCAGGGUUC
rnacentral:rRNA from 1 species